rnacentral:rRNA from 1 species
UGCGUAACAGCUCACUGGUCGAGUGGACAUGCGCCGACAAUACACGGGGCUAAGCUGGACACCGAAGCGGCGGGAUUUUAAUUCAUUAGAAUCGGUAGGGGAGCUUCCCAUGGGCGGAGAAGCCGGAGGGCGACCGACGGUGGAGCGCAUGGGAGUGAGAAUGCUGGCAUGAGUAGCGAGAGACGAGAGAGUAACUCGUCCGCCGUGAACCCGAGGUUUCCUGGGCAAGGCUAAUCCUCCCAGGGUCAGUCGGGGGCUAAGGCGAGGCCGGGAGGCGUAGCCGACGCGCAGCAGGCAGACAUUCCUGCACCGCGCACGCGGCGCUACGACCGACGGGGCGACGGAUGGGGGUGGCUCGGCGGGGUUCUGGACGUCCCCGUGAUGGAGCGCGGCCCGCGGACCAGGGAAAUCCGGUCCGCAGAAGGGCGAGGCUCCGGACGAAGCGACUGAGCGAAGCGAGUGAGCCCGAGGUCCCUAGAAAAACCCCUAGGCAGGCGCGUGCGCGCCCGUACCGCAAACCGACACAGGUGGGUGGGUAGAACAUACCGAGGCGAUCGGGUCAACCAUGGUCAAGGAACUCGGCACAAUGGCCCCGUAACUUCGGGAGAAGGGGUGCCCGCGCGUACGUGAACCGGCUUGCCCGGGGAGCGGAGGCGGGCCGCAGUGGAGAGGCCCAAGCGACUGUUUACCAAAAACACAGGACUCUGCAGAAGCCGCAAGGCGACGUAUAGGGUCUGACGCCUGCCCGGUGCCGGAAGGUCACGCGGAGGAGUUAGCCGAUUCGGCGAAGCCCCGAAGCCAAGCCCCGGUAAACGGCGGCCGUAACUAUAACGGUCCUAAGGUAGCGAAAUUCCUUGUCGGGUAAGUUCCGACCUGCACGAAAGGCGCAACGACUUGGGCGCUGUCUCGACCAUGGACCCGGUGAAAUUGCACUGGUCGUGAAGAUGCGACUUACCCGCGGAAGGACGGAAAGACCCCGUGAACCUUCACUGCAGCUUGGCAUUGGCCGCUGGUCCCGCGUGUAGAGGAUAGGCAGGAGGCACAGAUCCGGAGGCGCCAGCCCCCGGGGAGCCGCCCUUGGAAUACUGCCCUCGCGCGACCGGCGUCCUAACCCGAGGCCGUCAACCGGCUCGGGGACCGUGCCAGGCGGGCAGUUUGACUGGGGCGGUCGCCUCCUAAAGGGUAACGGAGGCGCGCGAAGGUCCGCUCGGGACGGUCGGCAACCGUCCUUUUGAAUGCAAGAGUACAAGCGGGCUUGACUGCGAGGCCCACAAGCCGAGCAGGUGCGAAAGCAGGCUCUAGUGAUCCGGCGGCCCCGAGUGGGUGGGCCGUCGCUCAACGGAUAAAAGGUACUCCGGGGAUAACAGGCUGAUCUUGCCCAAGAGUCCACAUCGACGGCAAGGUUUGGCACCUCGAUGUCGGCUCAUCGCAUCCUGGGGCUGUAGCAGGUCCCAAGGGUUGGGCUGUUCGCCCAUUAAAGCGGUACGCGAGCUGGGUUCAGAACGUCGUGAGACAGUUCGGUCCCUAUCCUCCGUGGGCGCAGGAGAAUCGAUGGAGGCUGCCCCCAGUACGAGAGGACCGGGGUGGACGCACCUCCGGUGAACCGGUUGUCGACCAACGGCACGGCCGGGUAGCCGCGUGCGGCGCGGAUAACCGCUGAAGGCAUCUAAGCGGGAAGCCGUUCCAGGGAUUAGUUCUCCUUCCGGUAAGGGCCCAGGUAGACUACCUGGUCGAUAGACGGCAGGUGCAAGGACGGCGACGUCCUCAGCCGAGCCGCACUAAUCGCCCGAGCUCUUCCGGAA